GCAUGUUUUUAAUGUCAAAAAUGUAAAACUAAAGAUUAAAAAUUCAUAUUGCAAAGUUCAUCGUUUUCCUAGCAUGAAAAGAUUAAUCUAACAUAACGACGGAAUUAAAUAAAUAAAAGUGGAACGACGUCACCCAAAAAUUGAUGAAACGUGAUUAUUCCAAUUGCGUGAAAUGUCGUCCACUGUCUCGUGUCUGUCUCUCCGUCUUUCUGCCGGCAGCGUUAUGUGUGAAUAUAUAUAAUUAAUCAGCCACUUUUGUCUUCCAAAUUCAGCAUCCAAUUCUGCCUUACUGCCAAUUCUGUGCGUGUAUGUAUGAUUAAUUUCAGCAGCUGUGCAGCCCUCAAAUUCUGCCCAGAAAGCAGCUUCGUUUUCUGCGUAUAUAUUUAAUAGAAUCUCCUCCUUUUCCGUGUAUUGGCUGCCUCUUCUAAUCUGCCGACCAGCCCUUCAAUUUUUAUGAAAUUAUAUAAAUAAUGGCUGACUUCAAUGUGUGUAGAGAUAUAAUAAUGGUUGCUUUCUUGUUUUCCUCCCAGGCUGCCGUUUCUUGUAUGUAUAAUAUCAAUUGAAUCCCAAGGCAGCCCCUCUCUUUUUGCGUGUAAUAUAUCUUCAAUUCACCCCCAGCACUCCUUUAAUUUCAGCCCCUCGAUCUGCCGUGAAAUAUACUCAAUUCAGCCCCCGGCUUCCUCUCGAUUUGCUGCUGCCGAAUUGAAUAAUCCCCAAAAAGGGAUUCCAAUCUUCCCCCACGGCAGCCCCUUCUUUUACCUGUGCGUAUAAUAUGUUCUUUCCAGCCCCGGCACACCCUUCAU
rnacentral:lncRNA from 1 species